rnacentral:rRNA from 1 species
GAUCAUUAUACCAGUGACCCCCGGCUUCGGCCGGGGAUGAUCAUAACCCUUUGCUGUCCGACUCUGUUGCCUCCGGGGCGACCCUGCCUCCCGCGGCGGGGGCCCCGGGUGGACACAUUCAAACUCUUGCGUAACUUUGCAGUCUGAGUAAAUUUAAUUAAUAAAUUAAAACUUUCAACAACGGAUCUCUUGGUUCUGGCACUCGAUGAAGAACGCAGCGAAAUGCGAUAAGUAAUGUGGAAUUGCAGAAUUCAGUGAAUCAUCGAAUCUUUGAACGCACAUUGCGCCCCCUGGUAUUCCGGGGGGCAUGCCUGUUCGAGCGUCAUUUCACCACUCAAGCCUCGCUUGGUAUUGGGCGACGCGGUCCGCCGCGCGCCUCAAAUCGACCGGCUGGGUCUUCUGUCCCCUCAGCGUUGUGGAAACUAUUCGCUAAAAGGGUGCCACGGGAGGUCACGCCGUAAAACAAGCCCAUUUCUAAGGUUGACCUCGGAUCAGGUAAAGGGAUACCCGCUGAACUUAAGCAUAU